AUUGAACGCUGGCGGCAGGCCUAAAACAUGCAAGUCGAACGAGUGGCGGACGGGUGAGUAAUGUCUGGGAAACUGCCUGAUGGAGGGGGAUAACUACUGGAAACGGUAGCUAAUACCGCAUACUACAAGAUGAGCCUAGGUCGGAUUAGCGAGUUGGUGGGGUAAAGGCCUACGAAGGCGAAGAUCCGUAACUGGUCUGAGAGGGGGAACAGUCACACGGGAACUGAGACACGGUCCAGACUCCUACGGGAUGCAGCAGUGGGGAAUAUUGGACAAUGGGCGAAAGCCUGAUCCAGCCAUGCCGCGUGUGUGAAGAAGGUUUUCGGAUUGUAAAGCACUUUAAGUUGGGAGGCGUUACCAACAGAAUAAGCACCGGCUAACUUCGUGCCAGCAGCCGCGGUAAUAC
rnacentral:rRNA from 1 species